CUGCGUGUACGGUCGAGUAACGGUGGUCGUGGGUUGCCUCACCGGCAAAGAACAAUCGAGCAGAACCGUUUGAAUCGAUGACCGGUUCGGCCAGAUCCGAUGGACAAACAUCAAAUUCUACACUUUUUUUGGAUCGAAAACUGCGAAAUCUGUACCGACAGCUGUCCGCAGCAUUGUGGAACAUUUAAUUAGUACUUCAUCCUCUGAACGAAUUUCAAAUUGUCGUGCAGCAGAACCUGUUACCCAACCAAUUAGUAAGUUGGGCUGGCCACGAACUGUGGAGAAUCCAAGAACUCUGUCUUCCCAUUCACCAGUCGCUUUUGAAGGGUCGGUGAUGAAAUUGACUCCACCCCACUCCGAAGUCCACCAAGGCAAUAAAGGGGUAAACAAUUUGUCAGCCCUAUCUUUCAAAACCCCCAACGAACAAGUAACGAGGACCAUAUCAGCAUAAUACGUUUUAUCACUGCAAACCACUUGCACUCCACUACUUGAAGCGGAAUUCCAACGAAUGAGAUUAACUGGAGAAUUCAAUUGGAUUCGAUCCGAUAAGGAAAGCUUCAAUCCGUUACUCGUCUUUGGAACAUUUUUCUGGAAAAAACAGCAACAACGUUAUCUGAUAUCGAUACGUACAGUUUUAGGAUUCUAUCAGCCUCACGCCAACCAGUCUCAACCGCUGCGUGUACGUUUGAGUAACAAUGAUCGUGAGUUGCUUCACCGGAGAAGAGCAAUCGAACGGAACCAUUCGCAUCGACGACCGGUUCGGCCAAAUCAGAUGCCCAAACAUCCAAGUCUCUGCUUUUGUUCGAUCGGUAGCUGUAAGAUCCACAGAAAUGCGGAUUGCUAUACCACGUCGUGCGGAUGAUUCGCUUUGGCUCUUCGUAGGCGAAAUUCGAACCGACCGCAUCCCGGAGCAAGGCAGAACACUUCCGCAAAACCUCAUCCUCUGAACAAGCUUCACACUCUCGGGCAGCUGGUCCACUAAUCCAACCAAUUAGUAAAUUGGGUUGGUCACGAACUGUGGAGAAUCCCAUCACUUUGUCGUCCCAAUCGCCAGUUGCUAUUGAAGGAUCGGUGAGAAAGUUGACCCCACCCCACUCGGAAGUCCACCAAGGUUUAUGAAAAUCGAGAAAAAUUUUGUCGACGGUUCCAAAGCCUAGGCCCUGAAAUGUGUUUUGUUUAAGCAAUAAAGGGGUAAACAGCUUGUCAGCCCUAUCUUUCAGCACUCCCAACGAACAAGUAACGAGGACCAUGUCAGCAUAAUAAAUGUUAUCACUGCAGACGACUUGCACUUGACCAGAAUUCCAACGAAUGAGAUGCACUGGCGAAUUUAAUUGGAUGCGAUCCGAUAAGGCGAGCUUUAACCCGUUGCUUGACUUGGGGAUAUUUUUCUGGAAGGAAAGUCAGACGAUAUGUUAUCAGAAAAAAAAACAGAACAGAGUACCCACGUUUCCACACCGUGGUAUAAUCUCCUUCGCAUUCGUGGUACUCUAGAGAACCCACUCCGGAUGUAUCAUUCCAGUUGUCAGAGCCGUCUUCGAUAUUCUGCGAUCGAUGGGCCCAGUCCAAAAGAUCUAGAGCAGUUGAACGAUUCAUGGGGGUGUGCCAGAUAAUUAUUCAACUUAGGAGAUAAAUGAAGAAAUUCUUUACUUGGAUUCAAAAUAUUCGCCCAAGGAUUUAUCCCACUGGGCUAGCUCUUUCUUGGAGUCGUCGUAUAUGCUUUGCCAUCUCUACGUCAUCUGCAUAGCCAGUCGAUUCGAGAGUGUGAAUGUCCGUCCGUAUCUCUCCAGCAGCGGCCGCCAAUGGAUGAACGACAUUGCCUUCAUGUCCGUGAACCCAUUGGGCUCCCAAUUCAAUCAAGCUCGAUCCUUAAAAAAUUAUUCACACAGAAAUUAAUUUCCCGACGUUAUGCAAUAUUUAGAUUGUAAUUGAAAAAAUAAAGUUACCAUGAGGAACAGUAAGAA
rnacentral:lncRNA from 1 species